CCCAUCCAGAUUCCUUACUCCUUGGAGCUAAAUAAUGGCCUAAGCGGCUUAAAAAGGAGGAAAAGUAAAAUUUAAGUGGAUUUGAGUCUCUAGUGACAUAUAAGUUCAUUUCAAACAUAU
rnacentral:snoRNA from 1 species